rnacentral:rRNA from 1 species
UACGUAGGGGGCAAGCGUUGUCCGGAUUUAUUGGGCGUAAAGAGCGUGUAGGCGGCCAUGUAGGUCCGUUGUGAAAACUCGAGGCUCAACCUCGAGACGCCGAUGGAAACCAUGUGGCUAGAGUCCGGAAGAGGAGAGUGGAAUUCCUGGUGUAGCGGUGAAAUGCGCAGAUAUCAGGAAGAACACCCGUGGCGAAGGCGGCUCUCUGGGACGGUACUGACGCUAAGGCGCGAAAGCGUGGGGAGCGAACAGG